rnacentral:tRNA from 1 species
GACCCCAUCGUCUAGUGGUCUAGGACGACGCCCUUUCACGGCGUAAACACGAGUUCGAACCUCGUUGGGGUCGCCA